GAUGAACGCUGGCGGCGUGCCUAAUACAUGCAAGUCGAGCGAACAGACGAGGAGCUUGCUCCUCUGACGUUAGCGGCGGACGGGUGAGUAACACGUGGAUAACCUACCUAUAAGACUGGGAUACUUCGGGAAACCGGAGCUAAUACCGGAUAAUAUAUUGAACCGCAUGGUUCAAUAGUGAAAGACGGUUUUGCUGUCACUUAUAGAUGGAUCCGCGCCGCAUUAGCUAGUUGGUAAGGUAACGGCUUACCAAGGCAACGAUGCGUAGCCGACCUGAGAGGGUGAUCGGCCACACUGGAACUGAGACACGGUCCAGACUCCUACGGGAGGCAGCAGUAGGGAAUCUUCCGCAAUGGGCGAAAGCCUGGCGGAGCAACGCCGCGUGAGUGAUGAAGGUCUUCGGAUCGUAAAACUCUGUUAUUAGGGAAGAACAAAUGUGUAAGUAACUAUGCACGUCUUGACGGUACCUAAUCAGAAAGCCACGGCUAACUACGUG
rnacentral:rRNA from 1 species